ACCCAGCUGACGAGUACCAACUGGGACGAAACGUAAGUCCUGGAU
rnacentral:hammerhead_ribozyme from 1 species